rnacentral:rRNA from 1 species
ACGAAGGGGGCUAGCGUUGUUCGGAUUUACUGGGCGUAAAGCGCACGUAGGCGGAUUGGUCAGUUAGAGGUGAAAUCCCGAAGCUCAACUUCGGAACUGCCUUUAAUACUGCCAGUCUAGAGUCCGGAAGAGGUGAGUGGAACUCCUAGUGUAGAGGUGGAAUUCGUAGAUAUUAGGAAGAACACCAGUGGCGAAGGCGGCUCACUGGUCCGGUACUGACGCUGAGGUGCGAAAGCGUGGGGAGCAAACAGG